rnacentral:rRNA from 1 species
UACAGAGGGUGCAAGCGUUGUUCGGAAUUAUUGGGCGUAAAGCGCGUGUAGGCGGCUUUGCAAGUCGGGUGUGAAAUCCCUCAGCUCAACUGAGGAAGUGCGCCCGAAACUGCAGAGCUUGAGUCUCGGAGAGGAUGGUAGAAUUCCCAAGUAGAGGUGAAAUUCGUAGAUAUCGGGAGGAACACCUGUGGCGAAAGCGGCUCACUGGACCGCAACUGACGCUGAGGCGCGAAAGCUAGGGAGCAACAGGG